UACGGGGGGGGGCAAGCGUUGUUCGGAAUUACUGGGCGUAAAGGGCUCGUAGGCGGCCAACUAAGUCAGACGUGAAAUCCCUAGGCUCAACCUAGGAACUGCGUCUGAUACUGGAUGGCUUGAAUCCGGGAGAGGGAUGCAGAAUUCCGGGUGUAGCGGUGGAAUGCGUAGAGAUCCGGAAGAACACCGGUGGCGAAGGCGGCCUGCUGGGCAGUAGCUGACACUGAGGCGCGACAGCGUGGGGAGCAAACAGG
rnacentral:rRNA from 1 species